CCAGCCCUCCGCUCCUGUUCCGGCUGCGGCGUGCCGCUCAGCCUGAGGAUCUUUGACGUUCGAGGCCCGGAGGCCAUCUGAGAGGGUGACGCCCCAGGAGGGGGCCGAGCCCAAGAGGAGGCAGGAGAAGCCUCGCCUGGCGGGCUCCUAGAGGCUCGGUGAGGUGAGGUGGCCUUUGCUCCCGCCUGGCCGACUGCCGCCUCCUGACGCCACCUCCCGAGCGGCUGUCGGGGGCCCGCCCAGCUGUUGACAAAGGCCGCACUGUAGAACCCGGGUUUGGUGAAGGGUUGGAUUCCAAGCCACCACUUGUUAGGCCUCCCACUGGUCAUAGCUACACAAAGUGUAAUCAUAAGAAAACAUCAGAGAAACCCCAGUUGAAGGAUAUUAUGCACAAUACCUGACCAGUACUCCUCAAAAUUGAUGUGGUUAUCAAGAACAAGGAAAGUCUGAGAAACUGUCAAGCCAAGAGAAGCCUAUGGAGACAUUACAACUAACUGUAAUAUGAUAUCUUGGGUGGGAUCCUGGAAAAGAAGAAAAGAUAUUAGGUCUCUAGACUUUUGUUGAGUGAAGAACAAUUUACUAUGAGGUGACCUACAAAAACAACACUCAGAAUUCUCUCAAAUCACAUUGGUCAGUGCAAUCAGCUCUCAGAUAUUUGGUUGAGAAGCAGCCACAGGAGGCCAGCAAGAGGCAGAGAAGCUGGGGCCUUCCAAGGGGCCAGAAAGGAAGCAGGAGGAUCUUGGGUCAUGAUGUGGGACCUGAUGACACACAGUGGAACAGCAUCCAGAAGAGCUGCUGAGGUCAAAAAGGGGAAUCAAAAUGGAGCCAGAAAGAUACUUCUAAAGUGUUGCUCUGUUGUUUACAUCAGAAGAAGACCAGAUGCCAGUGACUGAAAGCAUUCUACUCCCUGCAUCAAGAGACCUCCCUGAGCCCUCCCAAGCCUUCCCUCCUCCUUCCUGCUUACAUGAUCCACUGCUGACCUUGGGCCCUCACAUACCUUCUCUACUUGUGUUAAUAUAAAAUCCCAUCACAAAAGCCUGAGAAAUGCCACCUUUCAUUUUGUAUUGGAAUAAUUCUUUUAGCUCUUGGGGUUCAAUCUUAUUCUUUGUGUUUUUAGAGAAGAAAAAGGAGAGUGGGGUAGAAUCAAUGAUACUC